UCUAGCUGAAAUAAGAAUGAAUUCCGUAGCUCCUUCUUCACAAAAUCACAAAAUCUUCAAUUGGCCAUAUCUUUUUCGUUUCUUAAUGGAAUUGAGCGAUUCUCGUGGCCACGUAACGGGGAAAGGAUCUUCUACUAGAUUAUGGCUUCAAUUUGAGGUGAUUAGGAGCAUGAAUGAAGGAUUUUGAGGAUGAAAUUGAUGGUAAACCUUUGGCUUAGUGUCACCAACCAAGGUAGUGACAAGCUACGGAUUUGACGAUUUUGGCUUAGAGAGUUCGGCCAAGACAAAGGAAUGAUGAAGAUUGGAUAGCGAGGUGUGAGUAUAUUUUACUUACUCGCAUUAUCAUAUUAAACUUAUGUUAUAUACUAUAUGAAUAGUAUUUAAAUGCAUCACAUGAAUUGUUUGGAAUGAGUUGUUUGGAUUGAUUUGUAUUGUUUGGUUUGGAUUGUUUUUGUUGGCUUGAAUUGAUUGGAUUGGUUUGUGUCGUUUGUAUACAACUUAAUUGUAUUGGAAUGGUUUGACUUGUAUUGUAUUAUUUA